AUUUUUAUAGUGUAUAUAACAUAUUACAUUUUCAUUGUAAAGCUGAAAUAAUAAUUUCUAAAAAUA
rnacentral:tRNA from 1 species